GACGAACGCUGGCGGCGUGCCUAAUACAUGCAAGUCGAGCGAGUCUGCCUUGAAGAUUGGAGUGCUUGCACUCUGUGAAACAAGAUACAGGCUAGCGGCGGACGGGUGAGUAACACGUGGGUAACCUGCCCAAGAGAUCGGGAUAACACCUGGAAACAGAUGCUAAUACCGGGUAACAACAGUUGAUGCCUAUCAACUGUUUAUAAGACGGUUCUGCUUUCACUCUUGGAUGGACCUGCGGUGCAUUAGCUAGUUGGUCGGGUAACGGCCUACCAAGGCGAUGAUGCGUAGCCGAGUUGAGAGACUGAUCGGCCACAUUGGAACUGAGACACGGCCCAAACUCCUACGGGAGGCAGCAGUAGGGAAUGUUCCACAAUGGGCGCAAGUCUGAUGCAGCCACGCCGCGUGAGUGAAGAAGGGUUUCGGCUCGUAAAGCUCUGUUGUUGGUGAAGAAGGACAGGAGUAGUAACUGACGUUUGUUUGACGGUACUCAAAUAAGAAGCACCGGCUAACUAAGUG
rnacentral:rRNA from 1 species